UUUUUUUUCAUCAAAUGCAUAUGCCCCCAGGUUCUGUUUUACAAAUGAGGCUCUGGUUCCUGUUUAUGCAACCAACUGGUCUGAGUGGUUAGACGAACAAAAAAAACUGGCAAAAGUCUCCCCUGAAUCUCCUGUGAGGGCACUACCUUUGAGGGUGCCCUUGAUUGGCUAUGCUUGAAUUUGCCCGGGAAUGAGCUUCCAUUGAAGUUUUCUACUGGCACUUCUCUCUAUUCAAAUGAAGGAGGUGCUGUUAGCAUCAUAUCAACUGCACGGGAAGAUUGGAGUCCUGUGGUGGAUUCGUCUGAUAAGAAUGAGGAGGAAACACCUAAAAUUUCUGUUAGAAUUAAGGGACGUUCAGAUGAUGAUACUCUAAAUUCUUUCCAGCGAUCACAAGCAGAUUGGAUCCGGCAAUAUGUGGAACAACAAGAAGAGGAUGCUUCCGAAAGUUGGGAAGAUGAUGCAGUUGAUAAGGUCGGUACUCUAACUGGAGCAGAGGCAUCACUAGGUUUAGUACCGCUGUUGCAUUCGAGGAACCAAUCACACCGCCUGUUAAACUUUUUCAGGAAAGAUCACGAAUAAUGUUGCGGUUUGCUGAUUUGCUUGAGAAGCACAGUGAUCAUAUUGCGGCUCUUGAAACUUGGGAUAAUGGGAACAGGCUGCAAAUGAAGAAAUACCAUUGGUGUGGUAAAUGGUAGCUAAUUUGGCAUGGUAGAAAUUAGCAUAUAUGCUAAUUUAGGUUGUGGUACAUAUGUCCUUUUUGUUAAUUAAUUUG